AGACAUGUGCAUGAUAUGAACGGGUAUUAAUAAUCAUAGCGAUUUAGUUUGUUUGAAUAACUAUUAGAGAGUAGUAUACGUAGUAUGCCUAUGAAUUUUCAACAAAAUGUUGUGAGUAUACAGUUGGUGUAUAAUAUGUAGUAUACCCUAUGGGAACACCACUACGAACAGUGAGUACAAUUUAAUACUAUUAAAAUAAUAUUUUUGUCGAUAUAAUUUUAUUUCGAAACGUGAUGAGAAAAAAGUAAGAUACUGCAGCAGUUCGGACCACUUCGUGCCCCUAGGGUAUUAUGUAUAGUGAAUUU